rnacentral:rRNA from 1 species
AUUGAACGCUGGCGGCAGGCCUAACACAUGCAAGUCGAACGAGUGGCGGACGGGUGAGUAAUGUCUGGGAAACUGCCUGAUGGAGGGGGAUAACUACGGGAAACGGUAGCUAAUACCGCAUACCGUCAGAUGAGCCCAGAUGGGAUUAGCUUGUUGGUGGGGUAACGGCUCACCAGGGCGACGAUACCUAGCUGGUCUGAGAGGAUGACCAGCCACACUGUAACUGAGACACGGUCCAGACUCCUACGGUAGGCAGCGGUGGGGAAGAUUGCACAAUGGGCGAAAGCCUGAGGCAGCGAUGCCGCGUGUAUGAAGAAGGCCUUCGGGUUGUAAGGUACUUUCAGCGGGGAGGCGUUACCCGCAGAAGAAGCACCGGCUAACUCCGUGCCAGCAGCCGCGGUAAUUC